rnacentral:lncRNA from 1 species
AAGCAUUCACACAAUCACUUCCGGGGCCAAGCGUUCACACAAUCACUUCCGGGCCCAAGCGUUCAUAUAUCACCUCUCGGGCCAAGGUGGGAAUUUGGCAGAGCUGCGCCUGACUCUGCCAUGGUGAACGAGGGGGACAUUGUCUAAGCCACAGGGGAAGCAUGUGUCCUUCCUCGCUGGACAUCAUUUUCCAGAGCACAAAAGGGUGUGGGGCUCUCUUAACCUUGGGGUAAAAAUCCCACGUUGUGAAAACAUGAACACAGGUGCUAGGAAUACCUGGGCUUCUGGCCAGCCUCGGGCUUUUAAAUCCAACGUGGACUCACCCCAUCGGAGGAGGGAAGGACAGAAGCCAGGGAGCCUGGGUCCCCGUGGACGGCCGCGCAGCUGUCCCUGCUGCCAGGAUCGCUCUGCCCGGAGCCCAGGGUGGGCGCUGUCUGCUGAAGGCCGCGGUGAGAGAGUGAUCUCAGCUCAGAGGCUCAAGGGAGCAGCUGCACAGCUGCAGCUUACCGGUGGCAGCAGGGCCGGGGAACCCUGGAAAUGGGAGCCAUUUCAAGACCAGGGAACCGGGAGGAAACGGGACAAAGAUCUCGGGUUCUACUCAGUCACCUCCACCGCCUUCUCGAGCCAUGGAAAGAAAAGGUCCAGGAAUCAGCAGAGGGAAGCUAGGGAGAGACAUAAAACCAAGGAAAUUUUGAGAUACUACCAACAACUGGCCAAUGGCACAGGAACGGACAAUAAAACAAUGGUGAGGUUGCUCAUGAAAAGGGAUCCAACAAAAAUACAAGACUGCCACCUUUGCCUCCUCAUCCAGGACAGAGCAACUCUCCCUUUCCUUCUUGCAACAAAGGAGGCAAAACACACCCUCCCACCACCAUCCCUCAACUGAGCCAAGUGACGGAGGUCAGCAGUGCAAUUGUUUUGCUUAUAGGGAGGGACUCUGAAUUCGGUCAGUAGGUCACCUGCCCUCUCGGCCUGCACUCAGCUCCAUGCUGCCCAAACCCCUGUGAGUUUCCGUUUCAGAAUACUUCAGGCUUCAGCCAGCACAAACAUGUCACAGCAAGAGGGACAGUGAUUGUGUUUGUACACGCUAUUAGGAUAAGC